rnacentral:lncRNA from 1 species
GACCCCUACAGAUAGUGCGAUACCACUCUCGUCAGAAGGUACACCGUCAUUCACUAGGAGUAGUUUUCUUACAUCUUUUCAGACCAGAUAGGGGAGGAGAAAAUAGAUACUCCGAAGGGUAAGGAGAAUAGAUACCCCUUAGAGAUAGCAAGCCUAACGAGACACUUGAUACAAUAUGCAUGUCAAUACAUAUAUACUUUGGACCAUACAUGCUUCAUUCCACUUUUCUCUUUCUUUUUUCUUUUCUUUUAUGCUUUUUACUUUUACCGUUAUCGAUUACAUAUUAUAUUUAUUACAUGUAAAUUUAUCAAGUGUCUGUAAUUCAU